rnacentral:rRNA from 1 species
GACGAACGCUGGCGGCGUGCUUAACACAUGCAAGUCGAACGCUGAAGCUUGGUGCUUGCACUGGGUGGAUGAGUGGCGCACGGGUGAGUAAUACGUGAGUAACCUGCCCUUGACUCUGGGAUCAUCCUGAGAAACUGGGUCUAAUACUGGAUACGACAUGUCACCGCAUGGUGGUUUGUGGAAAUGGUUUUACUGGUUUUGGAUGGGCUCACGGCCUAUCAGCUUGUUGGUGGGGUAAUGGCUCACCAAGGCGACGACGGGUAGCCGGCCUGAGAGGGUGACCGGCCACACUGGGACUGAGACACGGCCCAGACUCCUACGGGAGGCAGCAGUGGGGAAUAUUGCACAAUGGGCGGAAGCCUGAUGCAGCGACGCCGCGUGAGGGAUGACGGCCUUCGGGUUGUAAACCUCUUUCAGCACGGAAGAAGCGAGAGUGACGGUACGUGCAGAAGAAGCGCCGGCUAACUACGUG